rfam:Gossypium hirsutum cultivar TM-1 unplaced genomic scaffold scaffold4672.1, whole genome shotgun sequence
GGGCACGAUCAUGCCAGCGCUACUGCACCGGAUCCCAUCAGAACUCCGCAGUUAAGUGUGCGAGGCGCAAGUGCGAUAAGGGGUAGCCUUUAUAUAAAUAGAUUGCGCAAG